GAUUAGCUAGUUGGUGAGGUAAAGGCUCACCAAGGCGACGAUCCGUAGCUGGUCUGAGAGGAUGAUCAGCCACAUCGGGACUGAGACACGGCCCGAACUCCUACGGGAGGCAGCAGUGGGGAAUAUUGGACAAUGGGGGAAAGCCUGAUCCAGCCAUGCCGCGUGUGUGAAGAAGGCCCUCGGGUUGUAAAGCACUUUCAGCGAGGAAGAACGCCUAGUGGUUAAUACCCAUUAGGAAAGACAUCACUCGCAGAAGAAGCACCGGCUAACUCCGUGCCAGCAGCCGCGGUAAUACGGAGGGUGCAAGCGUUAAUCGGAAUUACUGGGCGUAAAGCGCGCGUAGGUGGCUUGAUAAGCCGGUUGUGAAAGCCCCGGGCUCAACCUGGGAACGGCAUCCGGAACUGUCAAGCUAGAGUGCAGGAGAGGAAGGUAGAAUUCCCGGUGUAGCGGUGAAAUGCGUAGAGAUCGGGAGGAAUACCAGUGGCGAAGGCGGCCUUCUGGACUGACACUGACACUGAGGUGCGAAAGCGUGGGUAGCAAACAGGAUUAGAUACCCUGGUAGUCCACGCCGUAAACGAUGUCAACCAGCCGUUGGGUGCCUAGCGAACUUUGUGGCGAAGUUAACGCGAUAAGUCGACCGCCUGGGGAGUACGGCCGCAAGGUUAAAACUCAAAUGAAUUGACGGGGGCCCGCACAAGCGGUGGAGCAUGUGGUUUAAUUCGAUGCAACGCGAAGAACCUUACCUACUCUUGACAUCCUGCGAACUUGUGAGAGAUGGAUUGGUGCCUUCGGGAACGCUGAGACAGGUGCUGCAUGGCUGUCGUCAGCUCGUGUUGUGAAAUGUUGGGUUAAGUCCCGCAACGAGCGCAACCCUUGUCCUUAUUUGCCAGCGCGUAAUGGCGGGAACUCUAAGGAGACUGCCGGUGACAAACCGGAGGAAGGUGGGGACGACGUCAAGUCAUCAUGGCCCUUACGAGUAGGGCUACACACGUGCUACAAUGGCCGGUACAAAGGGUUGCGAGCUCGCGAGAGUCAGCUAAUCCCGAAAAGCCGGUCUCAGUCCGGAUCGGAGUCUGCAACUCGACUCCGUGAAGUCGGAAUCGCUAGUAAUCGUGAAUCAGAAUGUCACGGUGAAUACGUUCCCGGGCCUUGUACACAC
rnacentral:rRNA from 1 species